UGACCUGUGAUGAUACCUUUGUGAAAAUACCAUCUUUCGGGCCUGAUUGGCAACCAGCCAUGUUGUCACUACAAUUUCUGAGGUUA
rfam:Oryza meridionalis cultivar OR44 (W2112) chromosome 3, whole genome shotgun sequence.